GCUAAUACCGCAUAGGAAGUUUGUUCGCAUGAACAAACUUAGAAAGAUGGCUCUGCUAUCACUUAUCGAUGGCCUUGCGGUGCAUUAACUAGUUGGCGAGGUAACGGCUCACCAAGGUGAUGAUGCAUAGCCGACCUGAGAGGGUAAUCGGCCACAUUGGGACUGAGACACGGCCCAAACUCCUACGGGAGGCAGCAGGC
rnacentral:rRNA from 1 species